CCUCGUGUCCUCGGACGAGGAUGUUGUACAUCUACAAUCCCAAACCUUCUAGAAACAGCUGAAACGUCCACUUCUCCAACCGAUUCCCAUCGUGCCAACGGGGUCAGUACUGAGAGAAAAGCGAGACUGCUUCAUGGGUGUUAUGUGCCAAACUGUUCCUUGGCUCCGAGUAGUUGCCAAGCAACGAGCAGAUACUCCAAGAAGUUACUAAUCUUCACGGUGUUGGCAGAAGUGCCAUUCACCAGGAUGGAAACGCGGCCGCCAACAAAGCGCCGGCUUCAACGGCACGACAAUCAUAUUAACAUGUAUUAAAUCAGAUGCGAAUGCCGCUGAUUCCGCGUGGAAGUGUUUAAACAUUGUGUCAUUCGUUAUAAAUAUUAAUGAUGCUGGUAAUUGAUUGUCAAACCUGAUUUGAACCAGCUGUAUCAGACUCCAACCACGACCAAACCCCUGAAACCACCAGGUUCAGGUUGGUCCCUGAGUUUCCUCGUUUAGCAUCACGUUUAGAGCCGCAGCUAAUGAUUAUUUUCGUGACCAAUUACAGUCUGUUGGAAUCUGACUGCAUUUAAAUUUACACGCACUUUAACAUUAAAGUGAAUGGCAAUACAUUGUCUUCAUGGCAAUUUUCCUACAUUGGCUUCCUAUCCAAACGUCUGCAGCAGGUCCUAUAGGCCUGUGACUAUGGUUUAGGCUCCAUAGGUAAUUACCAUCCUGUCAAUGUCACACUGGCUGGAGCCAAUGAGAUAGGAAAAGUCAUUACAAAAGGCUCAAAUGACGUCAUUUGUUGCACAGGACAUUUAAAACGCUUUGUGUUAUGCUGAGUGAAAUA